GGCCCUACGGGGUGCAGCAGGCGCGGAAACUCUACAAUGUACGCAAGUACGAUAGGGGAAUCCCAAGUGCUCAUGUUCUGCAUGGGCUUUUGCCAAUUGUAAACAGUUUGGCGAAUAAGUGGUGGGUAAGACUGGUGCCAGCCGCCGCGGUAACCCCAGCGCCACUAGUGGCAAUCGCGUUUAUUGGGCCUAAAGCGUCCGUAGCCGGUUUGGUAAGUUCCGGGUGAAAUCGUUCUGCUUAACAGAACGGCGUGCUUGGAAUACUGCUGAACUUGAGACCGGAGAAGAGUUAGAAGUAUGUUGGGGGGAGCGGUAAAAUGCUAUAAUCCCCGAUGGACUACCUGUGGCGAAGGCGUCUAACUAGAACGGGUCUGACGGUGAGGGACGAAAGCCAGGGGAGCAAUCCGGAUUAGAUACCCGAGUAGUCCUGGCUGUAAACUCUGCGAGCUAGAUGUUGCGUAUUCUAUAUGAAUACGCAGUGUCGGAGCGAAGGUGUUAAGCUCGCCGCCUGGGAAGUACGGUCGCAAGGCUGAAACUUAAAGGAAUUGGCGGGGGAGCAC
rnacentral:rRNA from 1 species